rnacentral:lncRNA from 1 species
UUCAAUGAGCAUGGUGAAUGAUUGGCCUGCCAUGCCAUGCCCUUCAUGAAAAGCUCUCUCUCAGAGACCAUCAUGGCUAAUGAAGUAUUGAUCAAAAGGCUACUGGGUUCAUCUUUGUUGCUUGUUGAAAUUGAAUGGCUGCUAUAUCGCCAGCUCUUAUAGAAGAUGGCAAAGGGUUAUCUAGUACUUGGUCUGGUUUUGCUAAGGUUACCAGAUGUGUACGGACAUGGACCAUGGUUGUUGGGUGGGUUCUGGACAUUGAACCACCCAUGAUACGAGCAAACCCGUCGUAGUUACAGCAAAGAGGUGGCAACUUAAGAGAAAUGCAAAUAGGCAACGGGGUUAAAGAAGUAACCAGCUAUUAUACUUAAAGAAAGAUGCCAAAUGCUUUAUUAAAGGAAAGAAAGACA